CGGAGGGUGCAAGCGUUAUCCGGAUUCACUGGGUUUAAAGGGUGCGUAGGUGGGUCUGUAAGUCCGUGGUGAAAUCUCCGAGCUUAACUUGGAAACUGCCAUGGAUACUAUAGGUCUUGAAUGCUGUGGAGGCCAGCGGAAUAUGUCAUGUAGCGGUGAAAUGCUUAGAUAUGACAUAGAACACCAAUUGCGAAGGCAGCUGGCUACACAAAUAUUGACACUGAGGCACGAAAGCGUGGGGAUCAAACAGGAUUAGAUACCCUGGUAGUCCACGCCCUAAACUAUGGAUACUCGACAUACGCGAUACACAGUGUGUGUCUGAGCGAAAGCAUUAAGUAUCCCACCUGGGAAGUACGAUCGCAAGAUUG
rnacentral:rRNA from 1 species